rnacentral:rRNA from 1 species
GAUGAACGCUGGCGGCGUGCCUAAUACAUGCAAGUCGAGCGAACAGACGAGGAGCUUGCUCCUUUGACGUUAGCGGCGGAAGGGUGAGUAACACGUGGGUAACCUACCUAUAAGACUGGGAUAACUUCGGGAAACCGGAGCUAAUACCGGAUAAUAUUUCGAACCGCAUGGUUCGAUAGUGAAAGAUGGCUUUGCUAUCACUUAUAGAUGGACCUGCGCCGUAUUAGCUAGUUGGUAAGGUAACGGCUUACCAAGGCAACGAUACGUAGCCGACCUGAGAGGGUGAUCGGCCACACUGGAACUGAGACACGGUCCAGACUCCUACGGGAGGCAGCAGUAGGGAAGCUUCCGCAAUGGGCGAAAGCCUGACGGAGCAACGCCGCGUGAGUGAUGAAGGUCUUCGGAUCGUAAAACUCUGUUAUUAGGGAAGAACAAACGUGUAAGUAACUGUGCACGUCUUGACGGUACCUAAUCAGAAAGCCACGGCUAACUACGUG